rnacentral:rRNA from 1 species
UGCCAGCCGCCGCGGUAAUACGUAGGGGGCAAGCGUUGCUCGGAAUUACUGGGCGUAAAGGGUCCGUAGGCGGUGGGGCAUGUCGGUUGUGAAAUCUCCCGGCUUAACUGGGAGGGUGCGACCGAAACUGCUCCGCUGGAGGGCCGGAGAGGCGAGUGGAAUUGCUGGUGUAGCGGUGAAAUGCGUAGAGAUCAGCAGGAACACCGGAGGCGAAGGCGGCUCGCUGGACGGCACCUGACGCUGAGGGACGAAAGCUAGGGGAGCAAACAGGAUUAGAUA